UAAUACCUAGGGGGCCAGCGUUGCUCGGAAUUACUGGGCGUAAAGGGUUCGUAGGUGGUGCGGCAAGUUGGAAGUGAAAUCUCUGGGCUUAACCCAGAGGCUGCUUUCAAAACUGCCGUGCUCGAGUGCGAGAGAGGCCAGUGGAAUUGCAGGUGUAGCGGUGAAAUGCGUAGAUAUCUGCAGGAACACCCGUGGCGAAGGCGGCUGGCUGGAUCGCAACUGACACUGAGGAACGAAAGCUAGGGGAGCAAACAGGAUUAGAUACCCUGGUAGUCCUAGCCCUAAACCAUCAGAACUUGGGGUGGCCCGCGUAGGCGGGUCGUCCCGUAGCUAACGCGUUAAGUUCUGCGCCUGGGGAGUACGGUCGCAAGACUGAAACUCAAAGGAAUUGACGGGGGCCCGCACAAGCGGUGGAACAUGUGGUUCAAUUCGACGCAACGCGAAGAACCUUACCUGGGCUUGAACCGCUACUGACCAAGGGUAGAAAUAUCCUCUUCCCGCAAGGGACAGUAGUAGAGGUGCUGCAUGGCUGUCGUCAGCUCGUGCCGUGAGGUGUUGGGUUAAGUCCCGCAACGAGCGCAACCCUUACUCGUAGUUGCCACUCGCAAGGGGGAACUCUACGAGGACUGCUCCGGAUAACGGAGAGGAAGGUGGGGAUGACGUCAAGUCAGCACGGCCUUUAUGUCCAGGGCUACACACGUGUUACAAUGCAUGGUACAGACUGUUGCGAACCCGCGAGGGGGAGCUAAUCGGACAAAACCAUGCUCAGUUCGGAUUGCAGUCUGCAACUCGGCUGCAUGAAGCUGGAAUCGCUAGUAAUGGCGUAUCAGAUCGACGCCGUGAAUACGUUCCCGGGCCUUGUACACACCGCCCGUCACAUCACGAAAGUGAGCUGUACUAGAAGUCGCGCAGCUAACCGCAAGGAUGCACGCGCCCAAGGUAUGGCCCAUGAUUGGGGUG
rnacentral:rRNA from 1 species